rnacentral:rRNA from 1 species
CCUACGGGUGGCAGCAGUGGGGAAUAUUGGGCAAUGGGCGAAACCCUGAUCCAGCAACGCCGCGUGAGGGAAGAAGGCUUUCGGGUUGUAAACUUCUUUUAGGAGGGAAGAGCAGAGGACGGUCCCUCUUGAAUAGGCCACGGCUAACUACGUACCAGCAGCCGCGGUAAUAGGUAGGUGGCAAGCGUAGUCCGGAUUUACUGGGGGUAAAGGGCGUGUAGCCGGGCUGACAAGUCAGAUGUGAAAUCCCGUGGCUCAACCACGGAACUGCAUUUGAAACUGUCGGUCUUGAGUAUCGGAGAGGCAGGCGGAAUUCCUAGUGUAGCGGUGAAAUGCGUAGAUAUUAGGAGGAACACCAGUGGCGAAGGCGUCCUGCUGGACGACAACUGACGGUGAGGCGCGAAAGCGUGGGGAGCAAACAGGAUUAGAUACCCGGGUAGUC